rnacentral:rRNA from 1 species
UACGGAGGGAGCUAGCGUUGUUCGGAAUUACUGGGCGUAAAGCGCACGUAGGCGGCUUUGUAAGUUAGAGGUGAAAGCCCGGGGCUCAACCCCGGAAUUGCCUUUAAGACUGCAUCGCUUGAAUCCGGGAGAGGUGAGUGGAACUGCGAGUGUAGAGGUGAAAUUCGUAGAUAUUCGCAAGAACACCAGUGGCGAAGGCGGCUCACUGGCCCGAUACUGACGGCUGAGGCACGAAAGCGUGGGGAGCAAACAGG